UUGACCGGCCCCGAAUCCGUCCCGCCAUGAUCCGCUCCUAAUCCAUCCCGAAAAUUAUUUAUAUUUUAAAAAAAUAUUGCUAAAAAAUAAUAUAUUUACAAAAAAAUUUAAAAUAUAAAUAAGUUAGUAUUCUCAUUUCUAAUAUAUUUGAAACUUUUGAAUUUUGUUUUGAAUUAUGAUUGAUAUUUUUGAUUUUUAUAAUUGAUAUUGUUAAAUUAUAUAUAUAAUAUUAUUAAAAUUUUUUAUUUUAUAUUUUACAAAAUAUUAAUAAUAUUAUAAUUUUAUAAAAAAUAUUAGUUGGCUGGAUUUAAGGCGCCGGCGGGAAGCGGGUUACAAGGUGGGGCGGAUUACGGGAUGUAUUUUAACCCGUCACGGAUUCGGGGCG
rnacentral:lncRNA from 1 species